UGGGGAAUUUUGGACAAUGGACGAAAGUCUGAUCCAGCGACGCCGCGUGGAGGACGAAGGUUUUCGGAUCGUAAACUCCUUUUACAGGGGACGAAAGCGGGCAACCGUUUGACGGUACUCUGUGAAUAAGCCACGGCUAACUACGUGCCAGCAGCCGCGGUAAUACGUAGGUGGCGAGCGUUACUCGGAAUUACUGGGCGUAAAGCGCGUGUAGGCGGGAACUUAAGUCUGUUGUGAAAACUCAAAGCUUAACCCUGAAAUGUCAACAGAAACUAGAUUUCUUGAGUGCGGUAGAGGAGAUCGGAAUUCCAGGUGUAGCGGUGAAAUGCGUAGAUAUCUGGAAGAACGCCAAAGGCGAAGGCAGAUCUCUGGGCCGUUACUGACGCUGAGACGCGAAAGCUAGGGGAGCAAACAGG
rnacentral:rRNA from 1 species